GAUGAACGCUGGCGGCGUGCCUAAUACAUGCAAGUCGAGCGAACAGACGAGGAGCUUGCUCCUCUGACGUUAGCGGCGGACGUGUGAGUAACACGUGGAUAACCUACCUAUAAGACUGGGAUAACUUCGGGAAACCGGAGCUAAUACCGGAUAAUAUAUUGAACCGCAUGGUUCAAUAGUGAAAGACGGUUUUGCUGUCACUUAUAGAUGGAUCCGCGCCGCAUUAGCUAGUUGGUAAGGUAACGGCUUACCAAGGCGACGAUGCGUAGCCGACCUGAGAGGGUGAUCGGCCACACUGGAACUGAGACACGGUCCAGACUACUAAGGGAGGCAGCAGUAGGGAAUCUUCCGCAAUGGGCGAAAGCAUGACGGAGCAAGGCCGCGUGAGUGAUGAAGGUCUUCGGAUCGUAAAACUCUGUUAUUAGGGAAGAACAAAUGUGUAAGUAACUAUGCACGUCUUGACGGUACCUAAUAAGAAAGCCACGGCUAACUACGUG
rnacentral:rRNA from 1 species